rnacentral:tRNA from 1 species
GCUCCCAUGGGGUAAUGGAUAGCCUUCAAGCUUGCGGAGCUUGAGGCCUGGGUUCAAUUCCCAGUGGGAGCG